rnacentral:rRNA from 1 species
AGGUGCUGCAUGGCUGUCGUCAGCUCGUGUCGUGAGAUGUUGGGUUAGUCCGCAACGAGCGCAACCCUUGCCUUUAGUUGCCAGCAGUUCGGCUGGGCACUCUAAAGGGACUGCCGGUGUUAAACCGGAGGAAGGUGGGGAUGACGUCAAGUCCUCAUGGCCUUUAUGACCAGGGCUACACACGUACUACAAUGGCCGAUACAAAGGGCAGCGACACUGCGAGGUGAAGCCAAUCCCGUAAAAUCGGUCUCAGUCCGGAUUGGAGUCUGCAACUCGACUCCAUGAAGUUGGAAUCGCUAGUAAUCGUGGAUCAGCAUGCCACGGUGAAUACGUUCCCGGGCCUU